rnacentral:rRNA from 1 species
UGUGUGUGGGUGUGGUCGUGCGGGGGUGUACGACGGGGGUUGGUGUUGGUCGGAGUUGAUGGGUGAAAACGGCACGGAGUGGGUGUGGUGAGUCAGGGGUGAAAUGCGGCAGGGAAACUGUAGAGCGGGCUUUGGUACGGGGGAGCGUGAGUUUGGGAGAGGGGGGUGGAACUGCGAUUGUAGAGUUGAAAUUCGUGGAGAUUGGCAAGCAGAUCAGUGGCGAAGGUGGCUAACUAGCCCGAUACUGACGCUGAGGUGCGAAAGCGUGGGGAGCAAACACGAUUAGAUACCCCAGGAGUC